AUGAAUUGGACACUAAUGGCCAAGAAGAAUGCAACUUGCAGCAGUUCCUUCCCUCCAAUGUAUGAAUUAACCACCAUACAGUAUGUAGCUAUCCAACCGUCAUGAAAACACAUGUUUUGCGGCGACGAGACAAUCAGCAAAUCCCAUAUUGCUAUCAGGACAGGAAUUUAACAUCGCUAGUCCCCACCGAGCUGGUUCCUGUUAAAUGUAUCCCCCGGCUGGUGGCUACGACAGGGUGCAUGAUCG
rnacentral:lncRNA from 1 species